GAUGAACGCUGGCGGCGUGCCUAAUACAUGCAAGUCGAGCGAACGGACGAGAAGCUUGCUUCUCUGAUGUUAGCGGCGGACGGGUGAGUAACACGUGGAUAACCUACCUAUAAGACUGGGAUAACUUCGGGAAACCGGAGCUAAUACCGGAUAAUAUUUUGAACCGCAUGGUUCAAAAGUGAAAGACGGUCUUGCUGUCACUUAUAGAUGGAUCCGCGCUGCAUUAGCUAGUUGGUAAGGUAACGGCUUACCAAGGCAACGAUGCAUAGCCGACCUGAGAGGGUUAUCGGCCACACUGGAACUGAGACACGGUCCAGACUCCUACGGGAGGCAGCAGUAGGGAAUCUUCCGCAAUGGGCGGAAGCCUGACGGAGCAACGCCGCGUGAGUGAUGAAGGUCUUCGGAUCGUAAAACUCUGUUAUUAGGGAAGAACAUAUGUGUAAGUAACUGUGCACAUCUUGACGGUACCUAAUCAGAAAGCCACGGCUAACUACGUG
rnacentral:rRNA from 1 species